UACGGAGGGUGCAAGCGUUAUCCGGAUUUACUGGGUUUAAAGGGUGCGUAGGUGGAUAAUUAAGUCAGUGGUGAAAUCUUCAGGCUUAACCUGGAAACUGCCAUUGAUACUAUUUGUCUUGAAUACUUUGGAGGUAAGCGGAAUAUGUCAUGUAGCGGUGAAAUGCUUAGAUAUGACAUAGAACACCAAUGGCGAAGGCAGCUUACUACACAGUAAUUGACACUGAGGCACGAAAGCGUGGGGAUCAAACAGG
rnacentral:rRNA from 1 species